UAUUUUACACAUGUCACGUUAUAAUAUAGUUUUCAAAAUGCCUCAUAUAAUUUUAAAUAUGGCUUUGGAGACAUUAAAUUGUGAAAAAAUGUCAUACCAUUUCGGUCUGAAGAACGGUGCUAUAUUUUUUGCUAUAUUCGGAAUUUUAUGCUGGUCUACGGAAAUGUUAUACGAGAGAAACAACACAUUAAUAUUUUUCUUGGACAAACAUCAUUACAAAUUAUUUUACAUUGCUAUAUUUACUUUGUACGUAUUGUGUUCAAUUUGUUUUGUAUUGCAUACAAAGAAAUAAAAUCAUGUGUUAUCAUUGAA